rnacentral:lncRNA from 1 species
GGGCUCAAAAAAUGUACUCUCUCGGCUCUGACACAGAGGAGACAAGCCAAAAAAACAAAAAACACACAAACUACUCCCUCAAUUCACUCUCUCGGCUCGCGGACACACAAGGGAAGUCAGACACAAAAAGAAAAAACCAACUCUCCACUCCCGAACUCUCCCUCUCGGCUCUUUCUUUUUUUUUUUUUUUUUCCAACACACUCCACAAAUCAAAUAAAAAGGAGGAACUAGUGGCCAGGCCAUUGCGGUUUAGGAAUUUC